rnacentral:rRNA from 1 species
UGUCGUCAGCUCGUGCCGUGAGGUGUUGGGUUAAGUCCCGCAACGAGCGCAACCCCUAUCGCCAGUUACCAGCGGGUAAAGCCGGGGACUCUGGCGAGACUGCCUGCGCAAGCAGGAGGAAGGUGGGGACGACGUCAAGUCAUCAUGGCCCUUACGCCCAGGGCUGCACACGUGCUACAAUGGCCGGUACAAUGGGCAGCCACCUCGUGAGAGGGAGCGAAUCCCUAAAACCGGUCUCAGUUCGGAUUGGAGUCUGCAACCCGACUCCAUGAAGCCGGAAUCGCUAGUAAUCGCGCAUCAGCCACGGCGCGGUGAAUACGUUCCCGGGCCUUGUACACACCGCCCGUCAAGCCAUGGGAGCCGGGGGCACCCGAAGUCCGUGACCCAACCCGCAAGGGAGGGAGCGGCCGAAGGUGAACCUGGUGACUGGGGCUAAGUCGUAACAAGGUAG